UACGUAGGGUGCGAGCGUUGUCCGGAAUUAUUGGGCGGAAAGGGCUCGUAGGCGGUCUGUCACGUCGGGAGUGAAAACUCAGGGCUUAACCCUGAGCCUGCUUCCGAUACGGGCAGACUAGAGGUAUGCAGGGGAGAACGGAAUUCCUGGUGUAGCGGUGAAAUGCGCAGAUAUCAGGAGGAACACCGGUGGCGAAGGCGGUUCUCUGGGCAUUACCUGACGCUGAGGAGCGAAAGUGUGGGGAGCGAACAGG
rnacentral:rRNA from 1 species